AAGCCUAUACUUUCAGGGAUCAUCUCUAUGGUUUGUUACCAGAGAAGUUUCUCUGAAUGUGCAGAGCCCCCGAGACCACGAGGCGGAGGCGCAGCAUUCUCUCCUGAGCGUGGAGCUGGCUUUUGGUGUUCCUUUUGCAACCACCACGAGCCACUGAUGAUCGCCCUUUUCUCCCUUUGGGAGAGUAAGAGGGAGAGGAUGCAGUGGU